rnacentral:tmRNA from 1 species
GGGGGCGACUGGUUUCGACAGGGUAGUGCUGAGGUGGGCAGCAAGCCGUGGUCUCCUCGCCACGUAAAACAGGGGUUCCGUCAAAUUUAAUUGACAACAACAACUCUUUUGAGGCUAUGCCUCUCGCCGCAUAAGAUAAGUCGGCGCGUCUAAGCGGGGAUUGCUCCCGCACCCGUGGUGACGUCAUUUUUGGGAGAUGCACCUUCGGACGUGGUUGGUAUGCCGAAGGCUAAGCUCGAACCAACUGGGACGCCGAGCGCGUGUCGCAGUGUGCGACGCGUCCGAGAUUCAAUCUGCGACUGAGCUUGGAGACACCUGCCAGGGUUCUGCUUUGGACCGGAGUUCGAUUCUCCGCGCCUCCACC